CGUAGGGUGCGAGCGUUAAUCGGAAUUACUGGGCGUAAAGCGUGCGCAGGCGGUUUGUAAGACAGGCGUGAAAUCCCCGGGCUCAACCUGGGAACUGCGUUUGUGACUGCAAGGCUAGAGUAUGGCAGAGGGGGGUGGAAUUCCACGUGUAGCAGUGAAAUGCGUAGAGAUGUGGAGGAACACCGAUGGCGAAGGCAGCCCCCUGGGCCAAUACUGACGCUCAUGCACGAAAGCGUGGGUAGCAAACAGGAUUAGAUACCCUGGUAGUCCACGCCCUAAACGAUGUCAACUAGGUGUUGGGUGGGUAAAACCCAUUUAGUACCGGAGCUAACGCGUGAAGUUGACCGCCUGGGGAGUACGGCCGCAAGGUUA
rnacentral:rRNA from 1 species